rnacentral:rRNA from 1 species
UACGUAGGCAGCAAGCGUUGUUCGGAGUUACUGGGCGUAAAGGGUGCGUAGGCGGUUUGGUAAGUCUUGUGUGAAAUCUACAGGCUCAACUUGUAGUCUGCACGAGAAACUGCCGGGCUUGAGUGUGGGAGAGGUGAGUGGAAUUCCCGGUGUAGCGGUGAAAUGCGCAGAUAUCGGGAAGAACACCCGUGGCGAAGGCGGCACUCUGGGACGGUACUGACGCUGAGACGCGAAAGCGUGGGGAGCGAACAGG